UACGUAGGGUGCUAGCGUUGUCCGGAUUUAUUGGGCGUAAAGGGCUCGUAGGCGGCGUGUCGCGUCGGGGAGUGAAAAGCCCCGCUGCUUAACGGCGGGUUGGCUUCCGGGUACGGGCAUCGCUGGAGUGCGGCAGGGGGAGACUGGAAUUCCUGGUGUAGCGGUGGAAUGCGCAGAUAUCAGGAGGAACACCGGUGGCGAAGGCGGGUCUCUGGGCCGUUACUGACGCUGAGGAGCGAAAGCGUGGGGAGCGAACAGG
rnacentral:rRNA from 1 species